rnacentral:rRNA from 1 species
UACGUAGGGGGCAAGCGUUGUCCGGAUUUAUUGGGCGUAAAGAGCGUGUAGGCGGCCUGGUAGGUCAGCUGUGAAAACUCGAGGCUCAACCUCGAGACGCCGGUUGAAACCAUCAGGCUAGAGUCCGGAAGAGGAGAGUGGAAUUCCGGGUGUAGCGGUGGAAUGCGUAGAGAUCCGGAAGAACACCGGUGGCGAAGGCGGCCUGCUGGGCAGUAGCUGACGCUGAUGCGCGACAGCGUGGGGAGCAAACAGG